GACGGAGGGUGCAAGCGUUAUCCGGAUUCACUGGGUUUAAAGGGUGCGUAGGCGGGUUGGUAAGUCCGUGGUGAAAUCCCCAAGCUUAACUUGGGAACUGCCGUGGAUACUAUCAAUCUUGAAUAUCGUGGAGGUAAGCGGAAUAUGUCAUGUAGCGGUGAAAUGCUUAGAUAUGACAUAGAACACCAAUUGCGUAGGCAGCUUACUACACGAUCACUGACGCUGAGGCACGAAAGCGUGGGGAGCAAACAGG
rnacentral:rRNA from 1 species